GUUAAAAAGCUCGUAGUUGGAUUUCUGGUCGGGUGGCCCGGCCCUCAAGCUGAGUGCGCUGUGCCGCCCGUCCAUCCUUCUGUUAACCUUUAAGUCCUUCACGGACUUUCUGGGGCUCAGAUAUUUUACCUUGAGAAAAUUAGAGUGUUUCAGGCAGGCUAGCGCCGGAAUACACUAGCAUGGAAUAAUAGAAUAGGACUUUUGCCUCUUCUGUUGGUCUGAGGGGUUCGAGUAAUGAUUAAUAGGGAUAGUUGGGGGCAUUAGGACUUUACUGUCAGAGGUGAAAUUCUCGGAUUUGUAAAAGACUAACUUAUGCGAAAGCAUUUGCCAAGGAUGU
rnacentral:rRNA from 1 species